GCCAAGUGCCCUGUUCUUGUUGUGAAGAAGCCAGCUUAAGAACAUUGCUAAAUUAUGGUUCCCAGAAGACCAGUAAGUUCAAAUUUUAUAUCUGGUAUUACCAAAUUGUGUUGUGUGCGCUAAUUAAGAAGGAAUUGCUGAAGAUAUGUUGGUUGAUGUGGUUGAGAUUCAGGUUUUCUCAAACUCUGUAAUUUAUCAAAUAUGAAAUAAAAUGCAGAGUUUGAGAAAACCUGAAUCUCAACC
rnacentral:misc_RNA from 1 species